rnacentral:rRNA from 1 species
UACGUAGGGGGCAAGCGUUGUCCGGAUUUAUUGGGCGUAAAGAGCGUGUAGGCGGUCUGGUAGGUCCGUUGUGAAAACUCGGGGCUUAACUCCGGGCCUGCAGUGGGUACGGGCUGACUAGAGUGCGGUAGGGGAGACUGGAAUUCCUGGUGUAGCGGUGAAAUGCGCAGAUAUCAGGAGGAACACCGGUGGUGAAGGCGGGUCUCUGGGCCGUAACUGACGCUGAGGAGCGAAAGCGUGGGGAGCGAACAGG